rnacentral:rRNA from 1 species
GAUGAACGCUAGCGGCAGGCUUAACACAUGCAAGUCGAGGGGUAUAGUUCUUCGGAAUUAGAGACCGGCGCACGAGUGCGUAACGCGUAUGCAAUCUACCUUUCACAGAGGGAUAGCCCAGAGAAAUUUGGAUUAAUACCUCAUAGUAUAGCAGUUUCGCAUGAAACCACUAUUAAAGUCACAACGGUGAAAGAUGAGCAUGCGUCCCAUUAGCUAGUUGGUAAGGUAACGGCUUACCAAGGCAACGAUGGGUAGGGGUCCUGAGAGGGAGAUCCCCCACACUGGUACUGAGACACGGACCAGACUCCUACGGGAGGCAGCAGUGAGGAAUAUUGGACAAUGGGCGCAAGCCUGAUCCAGCCAUGCCGCGUGCAGGAUGACGGUCCUAUGGAUUGUAAACUGCUUUGUACAGGAAGAAACACUCCCUCGUGAGGGAGCUUGACGGUACUGUAAGAAUAAGGAUCGGNUAACUCCGUGCCAGCA